UACGAAGGGGGCUAGCGUUGUUCGGAUUUACUGGGCGUAAAGCGCACGUAGGCGGAUCUUUAAGUCAGAGGUGAAAUCCCAAGGCUCAACCUUGGAACUGCCUUUGAUACUGGGGAUCUUGAGUCCGGGAGAGGUGAGUGGAACUGCGAGUGUAGAGGGUGAAAUUCGUAGAUAUUCGCAAGAACACCAGUGGCGAAGGCGGCUCACUGGCCCGGUACUGACGCUGAGGUGCGAAAGCGUGGGGAGCAAACAGG
rnacentral:rRNA from 1 species